GGAAGGGCCAUCGCUCAACGGAUAAAAGCUACCCUGGGGAUAACAGGCUUAUCUCCCCCAAGAGUCCACAUCGACGGGGAGGUUUGGCACCGCGAUGUCGGCUCAUCACAUCCUGGGGCUGUAGUAGGUCCCAAGGGUUGGGCUGUUCGCCCAUUACAGUGGUACGCGAGCUGGGUUCAGAACGUCGUGCGACAGUUCGGUCCCUAUCCGUCGCAGGCGUAGGAAAUUUGAGAAGACCUGUCCUUAGUACGAGAGGACCGGGAUGGACGUACCUCUGGGGUACCAG
rnacentral:rRNA from 1 species